rnacentral:rRNA from 1 species
UACAGAGGUCUCAAGCGUUGUUCGGAUUCAUUGGGCGUAAAGGGUGCGUAGGCGGCGCGGUAAGUCGGGUGUGAAAUCUCGGAGCUUAACUCCGAAACUGCAUUCGAUACUGCCGUGCUUGAGGACUGGAGAGGAGACUGGAAUUUACGGUGUAGCGGUGAAAUGCGUAGAUAUCGUAAGGAAGACCAGUGGCGAAGGCGGGUCUCUGGACAGAUCCUGACGCUGAGGCACGAAGGUCAGGGGAGCAAACGGG